UGAAAUAACGUACUGUUAGGCAGCCUAGGCCCUAGGUGGGACUGGAUCGGAUCCAGUCUAGUUUGUUCGGACCAAUUUGGUCCAUUUGUUGUAUCCGAGCUGUCCAAAGUGUUUUGAACUGCUCAAAUUUGUUCGGAUUUAUUUUUCAAAUUUGUUUGAAUUUAUUUUUAUUAUAAAAUAUCCAAAACGUCCAGAACAAAUUUGACAAAUGGACCAAACUAGUCCGAAUCGUUUCCCACAUGAGACUGUGAUUGUUAAUGGAAGAACAACUAUAUUUUAAAUUACUUCUCAACCAUCAAUCCUGCACUUAUGCCAUUGUUCCCGGUAGUUGUGUCGCUAGCAUCCUAGCAUUUUUUAUGAAAUAACGCGAGUUAAAUUAAUAGAAUUUCUAACCAUACCCUUUCUUUCUCAGCACCUCCGGCGCAACAUACGCCGGCGUCCCACACUGCGUGUGCAGCAGCCCGUCGAUCCUCUGCUGCUCCGGCAGCGCCGACAACCCGAAAUCCGACACCUUCAAGUCGCCAUUCUCAUCCAGCAACAAGUUCUCCGGCUUCAGAUCCCUGUGACUCACCCCCCUGCUGUGACAAUAAUCCACCGCGGCAAUCAACUGCUGGAAGUACUUCCUCGCCGAAUCCUCCCUCAACCUCCCCCUCGCCACCUUGGCGAACAGCUCCCCGCCCUUCACGUACUCCA